UCGGGAAUUUUGGGCAAUGGGCGAAAGCCUGACCCAGCAACGCCGCGUGAGGGAUGAAGUAUUUCGGUAUGUAAACCUUGAAAGAAUGGGAAGAAUAAGUGACGGUACCAUUUAUAAGCUCCGGCUAACUACGUGCCAGCAGCCGCGGUAAUACGUAGGGAGCAAGCGUUGUUCGGAUUUACUGGGCGUAAAGGGCGCGUAGGCGGCGCGGUAAGUCACUUGUGAAAUCUCUGAGCUUAACUCAGAACGGCCAAGUGAUACUGCUGUGCUAGAGUGCGGAAGAGGCAACCGGAAUUCUUGGUGUAGCGGUGAAAUGCGUAGAUAUCAAGAGGAACACCUGAGGCGAAGGCGGGUUGCUGGGCCGACACUGACGCUGAUGCGCGAAAGCCAGGGGAGCAAACG
rnacentral:rRNA from 1 species